UACGUAGGGCGCAAGCGUUAGUCCGGAAUUAUUGGGCGUAAAGAGCUCGUAGGCGGUUUGUCGCGUCUGCCGUGAAAGUCCGGGGCUCAACUCCGGAUCUGCGGUGGGUACGGGCAGACUAGAGUGAUGUAGGGGAGACUGGAAUUCCUGGUGUAGCGGUGAAAUGCGCAGAUAUCAGGAGGAACACCGAUGGCGAAGGCAGGUCUCUGGGCAUUAACUGACGCUGAGGAGCGAAAGCAUGGGGAGCGAACAGG
rnacentral:rRNA from 1 species